UUAGAUAGAGAUAAAAACACAGUUUCGGUUGGUAGUCCGAACCUAUCUAUAAUAAAAGAUAGCAGUAACCUGCCCUCCUGGGUUGUCCAUUCUCAGUUAAGAAGUU
rnacentral:ncRNA from 1 species